rnacentral:rRNA from 1 species
UAGGGAAUCUUCCACAAUGGACGCAAGUCUGAUGGAGCAACGCCGCGUGAGUGAAGAAGGUUUUCGGAUCGUAAAGCUCUGUUGUUGGUGAAGAAGGAUAGAGGCAGUAACUGGUCUUUAUUUGACGGUAAUCAACCAGAAAGUCACGGCUAACUACGUGCCAGCAGCCGCGGUAAUACGUAGGUGGCAAGCGUUGUCCGGAUUUAUUGGGCGUAAAGCGAGCGCAGGCGGAAUGAUAAGUCUGAUGUGAAAGCCCACGGCUCAACCGUGGAACUGCAUCGGAAACUGUCAUUCUUGAGAGCAGAAGAGGAGAGUGGAAUUCCAUGUGUAGCGGUGGAAUGCGUAGAUAUAUGGAAGAACACCAGUGGCGAAGGCGGCUCUCUGGUCUGCAACUGACGCUGAGGCUCGAAAGCAUGGGUAGCGAACAGG